UUUUUGCGUGAAGGAUAGCCGUGGCAUCCUUUUGUAUGCCCAAAGCAUACAAAAGAUAUAACAGAUAGCCUGGCCCGCA
rnacentral:sRNA from 1 species